AUUGAACGCUGGCGGCAGGCCUAACACAUGCAAGUCGAGCGGAGCGGCGGACGGGGGAGUAAUGCCUAGGAAUCUGACUGGUAGUGGGGACAACGUCCGGAAACGGGAGCUAAUACCGAAUACUAUCCAAUAAGCGUAGGUCGGAUUAGCUAGUUGGUGGGGUAAAGGCCUACCAAGGCGACGAUCCGUAACUGUUCUGAGAGGAUGAUCAGUCACACUGGAACUGAGACACGGUCCAGACUCCUACGGGAGGCAGCAGUGGGGAAUAUUGGACAAUGGGCGAAAGCCUGAUGCAGCCAUGCCGCGUGUGUGAAGAAGGUCUUCGGAUUGUAAAGCACUUUAAGUGGGGAGGCGUUACCAGCAGAAUAAGCACCGGCUAACUUCGUGCCAGCAGCCGCGGUAAUAC
rnacentral:rRNA from 1 species